GAUGAACGCUAGCGGCAGGCUUAAUACAUGCAAGUCGAGGGACCGGCAAACGGGUGCGGAACACGUACACAAACUUCCGGUGAGCGGGGGAUAGCCCAGAGAAAUUUGGAUUAAUACCCCCUACUUAUUGAUGGGUGUGCGUCUGAUUGGGUAGUUGGCGGGGUAGAGGCCCCCCAAGCCUACGAUCAGUAGCUGAUGUGAGAGCAUGAUCAGCCACACGGGGACCGAGACACGGGCCCGAAUCCUUCGGGAGGCAGCAGGAAGGAAUAUUGGACAAUGGACGCAAGUCUGAGCCCGCCAUGCCGCGUGAAGGAUGAAUGCCUCUGGGUUGUAAAGUACUUUCAGGGGAGGCGCGUUACCCGCAGAAGAAGCACCGGCUAACUCCGUGCCAGCCGCCGCGGUAAUAC
rnacentral:rRNA from 1 species